GUCGCCGGCAUUGCCUGCCAGUUCCAGGGCACGCUCCAGGGCGCGUUCGGUGAUCACUGUCAGCUUGCUCAUUGGGGGCGUUUCC
rnacentral:sRNA from 1 species